rnacentral:rRNA from 1 species
UACGGAGGGAGCGAGCGUUGUUCGGAAUCACUGGGCGUAAAGCGUACGUAGGCGGUUAUACAAGUCAGAAGUGAAAGCCCAGGGCUUAACCUUGGAAUUGCUUUUGAAACUGUAGAACUAGAGUCCCGGAGAGGUUGGCGGAAUUCCGAGUGUAGAGGUGAAAUUCGCAGAUAUUCGGAGGAACACCAGUGGCGAAAGCGGCCAACUGGACGGGAACUGACGCUGAGGUACGAAAGCGUGGGGAGCAAACAGG